rnacentral:sRNA from 1 species
UGGUGCCCCUCGCGCCUACCGAAGCCUUCCGCGGCGACUUUAAACAAAUCGCGCAGUCCAUCCCCUUGGAUGGGCGACAUGGUCACUGUGCUGGGAGCGACAUGAUCGCCCGUAUGGGCGCCGUUACCAGCAACCUCGGGGUAUAUACCCCGAGGCUCACAGAUCAGAUGAUCGUGGCCACCUCGGUGGUUGAGACAUGACCGGUCCCCGCUGUCGUCAGCCGGGAGUCCUACGUUCCGUAGGUGAACCUGCGGAAGGAUCAUUACCGAGCAAGGGUCCUCUGGGCCCAACCUCCAACCCUGUGUCUACCUACCUUUGUUGCUUUGGCGUGCCUGCGAGGUCUACCUCGCCGGCGGUUUCUGCCGCCGAGUGCCCGCCAGAGGACCUUCAAAACUCUGUUAACCGUGAUGUCUGAGUGAUUACACAAUCGUUAAAACUUUCAACAACGGAUCUCUUGGUUCUGGCAUCGAUGAAGAACGCAGCGAAAUGCGAUAAGUAAUGUGAAUUGCAGAAUUCAGUGAAUCAUCGAAUCUUUGAACGCACAUUGCGCCCCCUGGUAUUCCGGGGGGCAUGCCUGUCCGAGCGUCAUUACACCACUCAAGUUUGACUUGAUGUUGGGUCGUCGUCCUCUGGAUGGACCCGAAACGCAUUGGCGACGCGGCCCAGCUUCAAGCGUAGUGUAUUUCUCCGGCGCUUUGAAAUGACGAGUCCUCGUCUGCCAGUCAACCCCCCAUACUUUUUCAGGUUGACCUCGGAUCAGGUAGGGAUACCCGCUGAACUUAAGCAUAUCAAUAAGCGGAGGAAAAGAAACCAACAGGGAUUGCCUCAGUAACGGCGAGUGAAGCGGCAACAGCUCAAAUUUGAAAUCUGGCCCUCUCCGGGGUCCGAGUUGUAAUUUGCAGAGGAUGCUUCGGGUACGGCGUCGGUCUAAGUUCCUUGGAACAGGACGUCCUAGAGGGUGAGAAUCCCGUACGUGACCGGCCGCCACGCCCGUGUGAAGCUCCUUCGACGAGUCGAGUUGUUUGGGAAUGCAGCUCAAAAUGGGUGGUAAAUUUCAUCUAAAGCUAAAUAUUGGCCAGAGACCGAUAGCGCACAAGUAGAGUGAUCGAAAGAUGAAAAGCACUUUGGAAAGAGAGUUAAACAGUACGUGAAAUUGUUGAAAGGGAAGCGCUUGCGACCAGACUCGCCCGCGGGUGAUCAGCCGGUGUUCUCACCGGUGCACUCGCCCGUGGUUGGGCCAGCAUCGGUUCGGGCGGUCGGAUAAAGGCUCCCGGAAUGUGACUCCCUCCGGGGAGUGUUAUAGCCGGGGGUGCCAUGCGACCCGCCUGGACCGAGGACCGCGCU